GCUAGUAGGCGGGGCGUGCCUCCGGGCGCGCUGACGUCACGCCCCGCCCCCUUCCUGCCCCAAUCCCAAGCAGAGGGCGCUCCGGCGGAAGCCAUGAAUGCCUCACAACCUCUGAGGAUGCCUGCCAUGGGUGUGGGCGAAACGUCAGGAGAGAAUGCUUCUGGAACAUGGCCAGACAGUCCGGAAACACACAACAACCAUUCCUUCCUGGAGGCCUUAAUGAAAGAUAUAAGGACAAAGGAUGCCAUUGCCUAAAAUGACAGGAAAGGGAGUCCGGGGAGCCCACUCUAUUGCCACCAAUGGGCUGGAUCUAGCCGUAUUUUCUGGCUGUGCAAUAUUCAAGGCAACAGAGCACCGCUAGCCUUUAGAUCGGUGGAGCCGAUGCAUAAAGCUGCCCGGCAGAACCCUAAGGAGUCCCCAUCUAACCUGAAGACGAUCCUGAAAGUCGGUGCAAGAGGACCCACAACGUGGCCCGAGGUCAAACCAGGAGCAGCCUCCUUCUGCCGAGAGUGUAUUUACAAACUGUAGCUGCCUCAUUUUUUUUCCUUGUGUCAUUUCAUUAUUACAGAGCUGAGAUCACUAGCCAUCUGCAGCUUCAUUUCAUCAGGCUCCGGUUUGUCCUUGGAGCAAAGUCAUCUGGGACGAACGGUAGAAAGAGAGACGGGAGCGAGGGAGGGGGACUGCGCUGCUCUCCCCGCUGACAGUGCUUUAUGCCUUACUGGAAACACACCUUUCUCCCACUGCUUUGUAGAAUUUAACCACUUCACUUUCUUGGAAGUGAGGGAAACCGUCUCCAUUAUUUAACGGUUGCACAACAACACUGUCUCUGAAACAAUUAAUAAUGUUUACCUGCAGACAACAGUAACACUUCAAAGCCGCACUUGAUAAAACCUUGGAAAUGGCUCAUGACUUCGAAGGGUCAAGAAGGAGGCUCCACACUGAACCAUAUGCUCCAAGCUCCUCUGUGGUGGAAGGGCAGCCGAGGAGAGGAACGGUUCAGCACUGCGGAUGAUGCACCAAAACUGCCAGCUGCAAAAUAUGAUCUUACAGCGGUGGAUACAGAGCUCAUAAAACACCGCUCGGAUACACGCUUGUGUGCCAAAAUCGAUGGGACUUUUAGGACUGUUCUCUUGGUAGAGCACGUCCAAUGAGAUCAGUGUUGCAAGGCCACGGCCAAACAGGUCUGUCUCUCAAGGUGAGGCCGAGAGGCAGGAGGGACCCCGUUUCGGUCCUCUAAACCCUUCCCAUUUUGCAUGUCAUUUGGUCUCUAAUGGCUACUCUGCCGAUUUCCAAGGCCCUGGAAAAGGAAAGAAUGGGUAGCAUCCUGUGUGGGAUUUCCAUUUGC